CCCAGGGAUACAUGUAAUAUUAUAUUUUAAAUUCUGAUCUAUAAUAUGCACACAUAUUGGGCAGGUGCAGAUAUCUCUACAUGUUACUAGUGAUUUAUUCAGCUCCAUAGACAAGGAACAGAAGCUUUUUUUUAAUAGGUGAACCCAGUCAUGUUUCUCACCUCCCCCGUGUUCCAAAGGCUGGUGUCUCCCAGACAUGGGGAGGGCAGAGAGAGGCAGCAAUCAAUGAGUGAGUGGGAAGUGCCCUACACAUCCACAGUAUAAUAACCAUAGGACUAAUGAGUUCAUUUCACUGCCUUGAUGCCUAAGGGGGGAGGCGGAUCAGAUCUCAUCAGGGCUGGGCAGAGGAAGGGGUCAGCCCAGCAGACUGUCUCGUCUGCAUUAGUCUCUCAUCAGUGUCUUUAUCUGACCCUGAUCAGGUCACAGCACAGAAAGGAGCUGCCUGCCGCCUCUGCCUGCUGCUCGCUUGGUUAGUCGGCUGUCAUUAGAUUAGCUGGUUACGUGUAGUUCACACACUCACUAGAAAUCCACUAUAGGGGAUCAUAUCUUAAAUCAUGUUUGUAUCGAGGUCUACGGAUAAAGUAUGUAGCUGGGUUACAAUAUAAUUAUACAUUAAUCGAAAUGCAAGCACUAUGAUGCUCACUAUACAGCAUACCUAAUUCAGUCAAGGUUAUUCUGGGGCAACGUUCUAAAAGUGUUCUAGUAAUCAUGGAAACCAAUGGACUGCUUCAGUACUCCUGCUAAUUGCUCCGUUCUUGCUCCCUUGUCGUCGAAGAACUUUGUAUAGAUAACAUUCGUUAAUUGUAAAGCUCAAUUAGAUGCCUGAACUCUUGUUAUGUGCAUAGCAGCAAUCUGGACCCCGAGAUGCUGCCCAACUGAUAGAUCACAGAUCAAGGCUUAGCUUCCUUAAUAUUAUUAUUGGACAGCCAUAAAGGGGUUAAGAGAACAUUUAACAGUGGAUUAACCCUUUAAGUGCAAGAUAAUCGUGACAACUCUUGCACAGAGUCUACUGGCGUGCAAAAGGUUAAAGGAGGAUACAAAGUUACUUAUGUGUAAAGG